UACGUAGGGCGCAAGCGUUGUCCGGAAUUAUUGGGCGUAAAGAGCUCGUAGGCGGCUUGUCACGUCGGAUGUGAAAGCCCGGGGCUUAACUCCGGGUCUGCAUUCGAUACGGGCUGGCUAGAGUGUGGUAGGGGAGACUGGAAUUCCUGGUGUAGCGGUGAAAUGCGCAGAUAUCAGGAGGAACACCGAUGGCGAAGGCAGGUCUCUGGGCAUUAACUGACGCUGAGGAGCGAAAGCAUGGGGAGCGAACAGG
rnacentral:rRNA from 1 species